rnacentral:rRNA from 1 species
GAUAAACGCUGGCGGCGUGCAUAACACAUGCAAGUCGAACGAUGAAACUUAGCUGAUUUCUUCGGAAUGAAAAUAAGUGGAUUAGUGGCGAACGGGUGAGUAACACGUGAGUAACCUGCCUUACACAAGGGGAUAGCCUUUGGAAACGAAGAAUAAUACCCUAUAACGUCAAAAUAUCGCGUGAUAAAGUGACCAAAGAUUUAUCGGUGUAAGAUGGACUUGCGUCUGAUUAGCUAGUUGGUGAGAUAAAAGCCCACCAAGGCGACGAUCAGUAGCCGGCUUGAGAGAGUGUACGGCCACAUUGGGACUGAGACACGGCCCAAACUCCUACGGGAGGCAGCAGUGGGGAAUUUUGCACAAUGGGGGAAACCCUGAUGCAGCGACGCCGCGUGAUUUAGAAGGCCUUCGGGUUGUAAAAAUCUUUUUUAUGGGAUGAAAAUGACAGUACCAUAAGGAUAAGGUCCGGCUAAAUACGUGCCAGCAGCCGCGGUAAUACGUAUGGACCGAGCGUUGUCCGGAAUCAUUGGGCGUAAAGGGUACGUAGGCGGCCUAGUAAGUUAGAAGUGAAAUAAUAUAGCUCAACUAUAUAAAGCUUUUAAAACUGUUAGGCUUGAGAGAUGAAAGGGAAAGUGGAAUUCCUAGUGUAGCGGUGAAAUGCGCAGAUAUUAGGAAGAAUACCGGUGGCGAAGGCGACUUUCUGGUCAUCAUCUGACGCUGAGGUACGAAAGCGUGGGUAGCAAACAGG